rnacentral:lncRNA from 1 species
GCUUCGUCAAAGCAUGGUAAAAUUUAGUAUUCAGAUCUCCAGAUGAGUACCACAUAUUCCUGCUUUUCUGAUGCCAAUAUUCCUCCUCAUCCUUAUAGGUCUCCUGCAAUUUCCUAGAAACCUCAAUAAUCUCUUCUUGUGAUCUAUUAUUAUCCAUUUGAACUUCCUCAAGCGCCUGUUGAAGCUCUUGGAUUUUAUCAUUUCCAUAUGGUUGAUUAUCUUUACGCCAUGAAGAUAUUUCAUGACGACAAUUAUUAAUUUUUGUAACAAGAUCUCCUAAUUGUCCUUCAUGACUCUCCGUCCAACCGGCUACAAUCGACUCCAUGAGCCCCUCUUGACCAAUCCAUCUUUUGUCAAACCUAAAUUGCCCCCUUUUUUCCUUGUAAAAUUAUCCUCUAAGAAAGCCACAACUGGACGAUGGUCAGACCCCACCAUCUUUAGAUACUCUGUAUAAGAACAUGGAAAAAGCGUGUGUCAUUCUUCAUUUGCCAAAGCCCGAUCCAAGCGACAUCUGACCGUCACUGCUCAUUUUCCUUUGCCCCUUCUUCCUUGCCAAGACAAUGUAUUUCCUCGAGCCGAAAAUUCUAAUAAGCCACUAUUCUUUAUCAUAUUAUUGAAAUGGAUAAAUGAAGUUGUACAACGUAGAGAGCCCCCAUCCUUUUCAUGAUUCCCAGUGAUCUCGUUUAGAUCUCCAAUAAGAACCAAGGUUCCGAACGUGCUAAUCCAAAUCGAGUUAAUCUCUCCCAUAUCUGUUCUCUUAGCUUUUGCACCGGAUCCCCAUAAACAAAAGUAAGAAAAGCUUGUUUUCCUUUGACCACCGCCUCAA